rnacentral:rRNA from 1 species
UACGUAGGGGGCAAGCGUUGUCCGGAAUCAUUGGGCGUAAAGCGCGUGUAGGCGGCUUGGUAAGUCCGCUCUGAAAGCCCGGGGCUCAACCCCGGGAGGCGGGUGGAUACUGUCAAGCUCGAGUCCGGAAGAGGCGAGCGGAAUUCCUGGUGUAGCGGUGGAAUGCGCAGAUAUCAGGAGGAACACCGAUGGCGAAGGCAGCUCGCUGGGACGGUACUGACGCUGAGGCGCGAAAGCGUGGGGAGCGAACAGG